UGAAGCAGGUCCCAAGGGUAUGGCUGUUCGCCAUUUAAAGAGGUACGCGAGCUGGGUUCAGAACGUCGUGAGACAGUUCGGUCCCUAUCUGCCGUGGGAGUUGGAAUUUUGAGAAGAGCUGCCCCUAGUACGAGAGGACCGGGGUGGACGUACCUCUGGUGUACCAGUUGUUCCGCCAGGAGCACCGCUGGGUAGCUAUGUACGGACGGGAUAACCGCUGAAAGCAUCUAAGCGGGAAGCCUCCUUCAAUACUAGAAUUCCCUAUCAGAGCCGUGGAAGACCACCACGUUGAUAGGCUGGAUGUGGAAGCAUAGUAAUAUGUGAAGCUAACCAGUACUAAUUACUCGAUUGUCUUGAAAUC
rnacentral:rRNA from 1 species